rnacentral:rRNA from 1 species
UUUGGUUAAGUUAGAAAGGGCGCACGGUGGAUGCCUUGACACUAGGAGUCGAUGAAGGACGGGACUAACGCCGAUAUGCUUCGGGGAGCUGUAAGUAAGCUUUGAUCCGAAGAUUUCCGAAUGGGGAAACCCACCAUACGUAAUGGUAUGGUAUCCUUAUCUGAAUACAUAGGGUAAGGAAGACAGACCCAGGGAACUGAAACAUCUAAGUACCUGGAGGAAGAGAAAGCAAAUGCGAUUUCCUGAGUAGCGGCGAGCGAAACGGAACAUAGCCCAAACCAAGAGGCUUGCCUCUUGGGGUUGUAGGACAUUCUAUACGGAGUUACAAAGGAACGAGGUAGACGAAGCGACCUGGAAAGGUCCGUCGUAGAGGGUAACAACCCCGUAGUCGAAACUUCGUUCUCUCUUGAAUGUAUCCUGAGUACGGCGGAACACGUGAAAUUCCGUCGGAAUCUGGGAGGACCAUCUCCCAAGGCUAAAUACUCCCUAGUGAUCGAUAGUGAACCAGUACCGUGAGGGAAAGGUGAAAAGCACCCCGGAAGGGGAGUGAAAGAGAUCCUGAAACCGUGUGCCUACAAAUAGUCAGAGCCCGUUAACGGGUGAUGGCGUGCCUUUUGUAGAAUGAACCGGCGAGUUACGAUCCCGUGCGAGGUUAAGCUGAAGAGGCGGAGCCGCAGCGAAAGCGAGUCUGAAUAGGGCGUUUAGUACGUGGUCGUAGACCCGAAACCAGGUGAUCUACCCAUGUCCAGGGUGAAGUUCAGGUAACACUGAAUGGAGGCCCGAACCCACGCACGUUGAAAAGUGCGGGGAUGAGGUGUGGGUAGCGGAGAAAUUCCAAUCGAACCUGGAGAUAGCUGGUUCUCCCCGAAAUAGCUUUAGGGCUAGCCUUAAGUGUAAGAGUCUUGGAGGUAGAGCACUGAUUGGACUAGGGGUCCUCAUCGGAUUACCGAAUUCAGUCAAACUCCGAAUGCCAAUGACUUAUCCUUAGGAGUCAGACUGCGAGUGAUAAGAUCCGUAGUCAAAAGGGAAACAGCCCAGACCGCCAGCUAAGGUCCCAAAGUGUGUAUUAAGUGGAAAAGGAUGUGGAGUUGCUUAGACAACUAGGAUGUUGGCUUAGAAGCAGCCACCAUUUAAAGAGUGCGUAAUAGCUCACUAGUCGAGUGACUCUGCGCCGAAAAUGUACCGGGGCUAAAUACACCACCGAAGCUGCGGAUUGAUACCAAUGGUAUCAGUGGUAGGGGAGCGUUCUAAGGACAGUGAAGUCAGACCGUAAGGACUGGUGGAGUGCUUAGAAGUGAGAAUGCCGGUAUGAGUAGCGAAAGACGGGUGAGAAUCCCGUCCACCGAAUGCCUAAGGUUUCCUGAGGAAGGCUCGUCCGCUCAGGGUUAGUCAGGACCUAAGCCGAGGCCGACAGGCGUAGGCGAUGGACAACAGGUUGAUAUUCCUGUACCACCUCUUUAUCGUUUGAGCAAUGGAGGGACGCAGAAGGAUAGAAGAAGCGUGCGAUUGGUUGUGCACGUCCAAGCAGUUAGGCUGAUAAGUAGGCAAAUCCGCUUAUCAUAAAGGCUGAGCUGUGAUGGGGAAGCUCCUUAUGGAGCGAAGUCUUUGAUUCCCCGCUGCCAAGAAAAGCUUCUAGCGAGAUAAAAGGUGCCUGUACCGCAAACCGACACAGGUAGGCGAGGAGAGAAUCCUAAGGUGUGCGAGAGAACUCUGGUUAAGGAACUCGGCAAAAUGACCCCGUAACUUCGGGAGAAGGGGUGCUUUCUUAACGGAAAGCCGCAGUGAAUAGGCCCAAGCGACUGUUUAGCAAAAACACAGCUCUCUGCGAAGCCGUAAGGCGAAGUAUAGGGGGUGACACCUGCCCGGUGCUGGAAGGUUAAGGAGAGGGGUUAGCGUAAGCGAAGCUCUGAACUGAAGCCCCAGUAAACGGCGGCCGUAACUAUAACGGUCCUAAGGUAGCGAAAUUCCUUGUCGGGUAAGUUCCGACCCGCACGAAAGGUGUAACGAUUUGGGCACUGUCUCAACCAGAGACUCGGUGAAAUUAUAGUACCUGUGAAGAUGCAGGUUACCCGCGACAGGACGGAAAGACCCCGUGGAGCUUUACUGUAGCCUGAUAUUGAAUUUUGGUACAGUUUGUACAGGAUAGGCGGGAGCCAUUGAAACCGGAGCGCUAGCUUCGGUGGAGGCGCUGGUGGGAUACCGCCCUGACUGUAUUGAAAUUCUAACCUACGGGUCUUAUCGACCCGGGAGACAGUGUCAGGUGGGCAGUUUGACUGGGGCGGUCGCCUCCUAAAGUGUAACGGAGGCGCCCAAAGGUUCCCUCAGAAUGGUUGGAAAUCAUUCGUAGAGUGCAAAGGCAUAAGGGAGCUUGACUGCGAGACCUACAAGUCGAGCAGGGACGAAAGUCGGGCUUAGUGAUCCGGUGGUUCCGCAUGGAAGGGCCAUCGCUCAACGGAUAAAAGCUACCCCGGGGAUAACAGGCUUAUCUCCCCCAAGAGUCCACAUCGACGGGGAGGUUUGGCACCUCGAUGUCGGCUCAUCGCAUCCUGGGGCUGUAGUCGGUCCCAAGGGUUGGGCUGUUCGCCCAUUAAAGCGGUACGCGAGCUGGGUUCAGAACGUCGUGAGACAGUUCGGUCCCUAUCCGUCGUGGGCGUAGGAAAUUUGAGAGGAGCUGUCCUUAGUACGAGAGGACCGGGAUGGACGCACCGCUGGUGUACCAGUUGUUCUGCCAAGGGCAUAGCUGGGUAGCUAUGUGCGGAAGGGAUAAGUGCUGAAAGCAUCUAAGCAUGAAGCCCCCCUCAAGAUGAGAUUUCCCAUAGCGUAAGCUAGUAAGAUCCCUGAAAGAUGAUCAGGUUGAUAGGUUCGAGGUGGAAGCAUGGUGACAUGUGGAGCUGACGAAUACUAAUAGAUCGAGGACUUAACCAUUUAA